CUGUGAAGGGCACAGCCAGGCAUGGGCAAGAGGCUGAUUGGCAGGCACAGACACAGAGGGCCAUGUCCGGCCGGAACAGGGGCAGCGGCAAGCACCAGAGAUGUACUCAUCCCAAAGCAUUUUCAUCAAUGACAGCCCUGGAAAGUGAACCAUCCAUGUCUGGGAGUACUCAUGCAUGUUGCUGCAAAGAUCCUGAAUAAAAUAUUGGUAAAUAGAAAUGGCAGGGCACUCUUUAAAAAGACCAAAUGGACUUCACCUCAGAAGGAAAUAAUAGUUUAAUAUUAAGAAAUCUAUUCAUGCAAUUCGCCAUGUUAAUAAAUUAAUCAUUUGUUAACCUGAACAAGUACUGAAAUGUGUCUUAAUAAAGACAAUAUCCA
rnacentral:lncRNA from 10 species